rnacentral:rRNA from 1 species
UGCCAGACUCCUACGGGAGGCAGCAGUGGGGAAUAUUGCACAAUGGGGGAAACCCUGAUGCAGCGACGCCGCGUGAGUGAAGAAGUAUUUCGGUAUGUAAAGCUCUAUCAGUAGGGAAGAAAAUGACGGUACCUGACUAAGAAGCCCCGGCUAACUACGUGCCAGCAGCCGCGGUAAUACGUAGGGGGCAAGCGUUAUCCGGAUUUACUGGGUGUAAAGGGAGCGUAGACGGUUAUGCAAGUCUGAAGUGAAAGCCCAAGGCUCAACCAUGGGACUGCUUUGGAAACUGUAAAACUGGAGUGCAGGAGAGGUAAGCGGAAUUCCUAGUGUAGCGGUGAAAUGCGUAGAUAUUAGGAGGAACACCGGCGGCGAAGGCGGCCUGCUGGACCGUGACUGACGUUGAGGCUCGAGAGCGUGGGGAGCAAACAGGAUUAGAUACCCCAGUA